UUUCCUUGGAUUAAUGGAGGAAUAUUGGUUAUGCAGGCUCAAUUAGCUCGUCAUGCUCACUAUAUCUUUCAGCAACAUUUGCAGUGUUAUUUCCUGUCACGCCUGUUGGCAGCUCGGGAACAUAAUUAGUACCAAAAGGAUUUUCUCACUAUGUAAAGAUGUCUUCAUCAUCACUGCCUCAUCUCACCAGUCUGAGGAAAUGCGGUGGAUAUAUCUACCUUAGGGAGUUUUUGGCAUUGAGGUAGCGCCUCCACUCAACCCAGCAGAGCUGAAUCUGGUCCCCGAGGAGAUUAAGAGGGCCAUCGCUGGGAAACAGACACUGAAAGACAUCAGCAGCACCUGGAGCAGCCUCUCCAAGGACAGGCGGGUGGAGUUGUGGAUUGUGAGCGGCAGUAAAAACUCCUGCAGCUUCCCUCCAUCUUCCAUUAUCUCCCUCAGCUGAGAGGAGUGCAGGCUGUCCUUCAACAGGAAAGACAAUGCAGCUGGGACAGGGACACACUAGAGGUGAAAACAAAAA